CCUACGGGGGGCAGCAGUGAGGAAUAUUGGUCAAUGGGCGAGAGCCUGAACCAGCCAAGUCGCGUGAGGGAAGACGGUACUAUGGAUUGUAAACCUCUUUUGCCGGGGAGCAAAAAGCGGUACGUGUACCGCAUCGAGAGUACCCGGAGAAAAAGCAUCGGCUACAUCCGAGCACGCAGCCGCGGUAAUACGGAGGAUGCGGGCGUUAUCCGGAGUGAUUGGGUAUAAGGGGUGCGCAGGCGGCGAGUUAAUUCAGCGGUAAAAUGUAGGGGCUCAACCCCGACGAGCCGGUGAAACUGGCUUGCUAGAGUGGGCGAGAAGUAUGCGGAAGGCGUGGUGUAGCGGUGAAAUGCAUAGAUAUCACGCAGAACUCCGAUUGCGAAGGCAGCAUACCGGCGCCCAACUGACGCUCAGGCACGAAAGCGUGGGUAUCGAACAGGAUUAGAUACCCCGGUAGUC
rnacentral:rRNA from 1 species